rnacentral:rRNA from 1 species
UUCGCCCUUAGAGUUUGAUCCUGGCUCAGGACGAACGCUGGCGGCGCGCCUAACACAUGCAAGUCGAACGGAGCUUAAAGAGCUUGCUUUUUAAGCUUAGUGGCGAACGGGUGAGUAACGCGUGAGUAACCUGCCCUGGAGUGGGGGACAACAGUUGGAAACGACUGCUAAUACCGCAUAAGCCCACGGAUCCGCAUGGAUCUGAGGGAAAAGGAUUUAUUCGCUUCAGGAUGGACUCGCGUCCAAUUAGCUAGUUGGUGAGGUAACGGCCCACCAAGGCGACGAUUGGUAGCCGGACUGAGAGGUUGAACGGCCACAUUGGGACUGAGACACGGCCCAGACUCCUACGGGAGGCAGCAGUGGGGGAUAUUGCACAAUGGGGGAAACCCUGAUGCAGCGACGCCGCGUGGAGGAAGAAGGUUUUCGGAUUGUAAACUCCUGUCGUUAGGGACGAUAAUGACGGUACCUAACAAGAAAGCACCUGGCUAACUACGUGCCAGCAGCCGCGGUAAAACGUAGGGUGCAAGCGUUGUCCGGAAUUACUGGGUGUAAAGGGAGAGCAGGCGGACCGGCACAGUUGGAAGUGAAAACUAUGGGCUCAACCCAUAAAUUGCUUUCAAAACUGCUGGCCUUGAGUAGUGCAGAGGUAGGUGGAAUUCCCGGUGUAGCGGUGGAAUGCGUAGAUAUCGGGAGGAACACCAGUGGCGAAGGCGACCUUCUGGGCACCAACUGACGCUGAGGCUCGAAAGCAUGGGUAGCAAACAGGAUUAGAUCCCCUGGUAGUCCAUGCCGUAAAAGAUGAUUAUUAGGUGUUGGAGGAUUGACCCCUUCAGUACCGCAGUUAACAACAAUUAAAGUAAUCCACCUGGGGAGUACGACCGCAAGGUUGAAACUCAAAGGAAUUGACGGGGGCCCGCACAAGCAGUGGAGUAUGAGGUUUAAUUAGAAGCAACGCGAAGAACCUUACCAGGUCUUGACAUCCGAUGCAUAGUGCAGAGAUGCAUGAAGUCCUUCGGGACAUCGAGACAGGUGGUGCAUGGCUGUCGUCAGCUCGUGUCGUGAGAUGUUGGGUUAAGUCCCGCAACGAGCGCAACCCUUAUUGCCAGUUACUACGCAAGAGGACUCUGGCGAGACUGCCGUUGACAAAACGGAGGAAGGUGGGGAUGACGUCAAAUCAUCAUGCCCUUUAUGACCUGGGCUACACACGUACUACAAUGGCGUUUAACAAAGAGAAGCAAGACCGCGAGGUGGAGCAAAACUCAAAAACAACGUCUCAGUUCAGAUUGCAGGCUGCAACUCGCCUGCAUGAAGUCGGAAUUGCUAGUAAUCGCGGAUCAGCAUGCCGCGGUGAAUACGUUCCCGGGCCUUGUACUCACCGCCCGUCA